UACGAAGGUGGCAAGCGUUACUCGGAAUUACUAGGCGUAAAGGGCAGGUAGGUGGUUUGGUUAGUCUGUUGUGAAAGCUCCCGGCUUAACUGGGAGAGGUCAACGGAUACUGCCAAACUUGAGUAUAGGAGAGGUUACUGGAAUUCCCGGUGUAGCGGUGAAAUGCGUAGAUAUCGUAAGGAAGACCAGUGGCGAAGGCGGGUCUCUGGACAGUUCCUGACGCUGAGGCACGAAGGCCAGGGGAGCAAACGGG
rnacentral:rRNA from 1 species